rnacentral:rRNA from 1 species
AGCAGCCGCGGUAAUUCCAGCUCCAAUAGCGUAUAUUAAAGUUGUUGCAGUUAAAAAGCUCGUAGUUGAAUUUCGGGAUUAAUGCGUCGGUCGUGCCUUCGGUACGUACUAGCGUCAUUGAUUCCUCCCUUCUGAAGAACCGUGAUGUCAUUAAUUUGGUGUUACGGGGAAUCAGGACUGUUACCUUGAAAAAUUAGAGUGUUUAAAGCAGGCUAACGCUUGAAUACAUUAGCAUGGAAUAAUGAAAUAGGACGUUCGAACCUAUUUUGUUGGUUUCUAGGAUCGACGUAAUGAUUAAUAGGGAUAGUUGGGGGCAUUAGUAUUCAAUUGUCAGAGGUGAAAUUCUUGGAUUUAUUGAAGACUGACUACUGCGAAAGCAUUUGCCAAGGAUGUUUCAUUAAUCAAGAACGAAAGUUAGGGGAUCGAAGACGAUCAGAUACCGUCGUAGUCUUAACCAUAAACUAUGCCGACUAGGGAUCGGAUGGAUGUUAAUUUUUUAAUGUACUCA